AGCAGCCGCGGUAAUUCCAGCUCCAAUAGCGUAUAUUAAAGUUGUUGCAGUUAAAAAGCUCGUAGUUGAAUUUCGGGGUCAGCAGGUUGGUCGUGCCACUGGUAUGCACUGGUCUCGCUGAUUCCUCCCUCUUGUAGAACCGUAAUGCCAUUAAGUUGGUGUUGCGGGGAAACAGGACUGUUACUUUGAAAAAUUAGAGUGUUUAAAGCAGGCUAACGCUUGAAUACAUUAGCAUGGAAUAAUGAAAUAGGACGAUCGAUCCUAUUUUGUUGGUUUCUAGGGUUGACGUAAUGAUUAAUAGGGAUAGUUGGGGCAUUAGUAUUCAAUUGUCAGAGGUGAAAUUCUUGGAUUUAUUGAAGACUAACUACUGCGAAAGCAUUUGCCAAGGAUGUUUUCAUUAAUCAAGAACGAAAGUUAGGGGAUCGAAGACGAUCAGAUACCGUCGUAGUC
rnacentral:rRNA from 1 species